UACGUAGGGUGCAAGCGUUGUCCGGAAUUAUUGGGCGUAAAGAGCUCGUAGGCGGUCUGUUGCGUCAGCUGUGAAAACCCGAGGCUCAACCUCGGGCCUGCAGCCGAUACGGGCAGACUAGAGUUCGGCAGGGGAGACUGGAAUUCCUGGUGUAGCGGUGAAAUGCGUAGAUAUCUGGAGGAACACCGGUGGCGAAGGCGGCAUCCUGGACCAACACUGACGCUGAGUGAGCGAAAGCCAGGGGAGCAAACGGG
rnacentral:rRNA from 1 species